rnacentral:rRNA from 1 species
GAUGAACGCUAGCUACAGGCUUAACACAUGCAAGUCGAGGGGAAACGAUAGAGAAAGCUUGCUUUUUCUAGGCGUCGACCGGCGCACGGGUGAGUAACGCGUAUCCAACCUGCCCACCACUUGGGGAUAACCUUGCGAAAGUAAGACUAAUACCCAAUGACGUCUCUAGAAGACAUCUGAAAGGGAUUAAAGAUUUAUCGGUGAUGGAUGGGGAUGCGUCUGAUUAGCUUGUUGGCGGGGUAACGGCCCACCAAGGCUACGAUCAGUAGGGGUUCUGAGAGGAAGGUCCCCCACAUUGGAACUGAGACACGGUCCAAACUCCUACGGGAGGCAGCAGUGAGGAAUAUUGGUCAAUGGGCGAGAGCCUGAACCAGCCAAGUAGCGUGCAGGAUGACGGCCCUAUGGGUUGUAAACUGCUUUAUAAGGGAAUAAAGUGAGCCUCGUGAGGCUUUUUGCAUGUACCUUAUGAAUAAGGACCGGCUAAUUCCGUG